AGAGUUUGAUCCUGGCUCAGGACGAACGCUGGCGGCGUGCGUAACACAUGCAAGUCGAACGAGCACAGCAAUGCGCGAGUGGCGGACGGGUGAGGAACACGUGGCUACCAACCUGACACCGGGGGAUACCCGUGGGAAACCACGGCUAAUACCGCAUACGCCCGCAAGGGGAAAGCCGUAAGGCAGUGACAGACGGGGCUGCGCCCGAUUAGCUCGUUGGUGGGGUAACGGCCUACCAAGGCGACGAUCGGUAACUGGUCUGAGAGGAUGACCAGUCACAUUGGGAUUGAGAACGGCCCAAAUCCCUACGGGGAGCAGCAGUGAGGAAUAUUCGGCAAUGGGCGCAAGCCUGACCGAGCGACGCCGCGUGCGGGAAGACGCUUUUCGGAGUGUAAACCGCUUUUCUCUGUGACGAGACAGGACGGUAGCAGAGGAAGAAGUCUCGGCUAACUACGUGCCAGCAGCCGCGGUAAUUC
rnacentral:rRNA from 1 species